UAGUCCACGCCCUAAACGAUGCUAACUCGAUAUUUGGAUCUUGAAUCUGAGUGUCUAAGAGAAAUUGAUAAGUGACCCACCUGGGGAGUACGUUCGCAAGAAUGAAACUCAAAGGAAUUGGCGGGGGCCCGCACAAGCGGUGGAGCAUGUGGUUUAAUUCGAUGAUACGCGAGGAACCUUACCAGGGCUUAAAUGUAGAUUGACAGGUUUAGAGAUAGACUUUUCUUCGGACAAUUUACAAGGUGCUGCAUGGUUGUCGUCAGCUCGUGCCGUGAGGUGUCAGGUUAAGUCCUAUAACGAGCGCAACCCCUGUUGUUAGUUGCCAGCGAGUAAUGUCGGGAACUCUAACAAGACUGCCGGUGCAAACCGUGAGGAAGGUGGGGAUGACGUCAAAUCAUCACGGCCCUUACGUCCUGGGCUACACACGUGCUACAAUGGUAGGUACAGAGAGCAGCCAUGUCGCGAGGCAGAGCGAAUCUAUAAAACCCAUCACAGUUCGGAUCGG
rnacentral:rRNA from 1 species